UAACGGGAAUAAACGCCAUCGAGAGGCCAAACUCCACGUUAACUUUAUGUUGUAAUGCUUUCGGGUAUCCUAUAGAGAACAUCACUUGGCAAUAUCAGUCCUGCCCAAACGGUGAACCAUGCCCCCAAACAUUCAGUGAUCUAAAGUGUUCUCAGAUUACGUAUGCAGUACUCAAGGAGAACCUCCAUUCAUCCGAAUGUACGUUUGUGGCUACAGAAUCUGCCAGGAUCCUAUGUCGAUCUGGAAAGAAAAACGAAUAUGCUGAUAUUGUGGUUUCAGAGUUUGAAGAGCCCGUGUCCAUCAUGUACAACGGCACCUGUGCAAUGGAGGACCUAUCAAGAACUUCCUACUGCACCGUUAAGGAGACGGACCGUUUCACCUUGACUUGCGCAGCCUCCAAGUUUUUCUUUGAUUCCGUCGAGCUUUGGUUCUCACCCACAGACGAGGGAGUGUUUGAUGAAGGUAAAGGAUUUCACUUUUAAUCCUAAGCAAAAGGCUCACAGCUGCUUUCUUCACGUAAGCUAGAAGGUGGCCCAGAAUUUGUGAAAAGUGUUAGGAUGUCAAGGAUGUCAGUCAGGUACUCUCUCUCUCUCUCUCUCUCCUAGGAACGAUACAGUCUGUGCCCUCACAGUUUCGUUGCUGAUAGGCUCAAAGACCCUUCCUUAUACUUUAUUGAAUAUCCUGUCAAAUUUGCUUGCCAAGCUUUAUACCGUUUCCUCAAUAUGUCAAUGGUGUUACGGCCUCUGAGAGAGGUCCGCUUCAGGUUUGAUAUGAAAUAAAUAAAAAAAAAAAUAUUUCAACACCAACAGUUGAAACUGGGGAUACGAAUAUAGAAAGAAACACUAACACAACAAAGGUUUAUUUACAAGCUUACUAACAUAGGUAAAUGCAGAAUGGUAUCUCCUAUUUACAUAAAAAGAUAGAAUCUUACACUGCAUGAACUGGGGGAACAGUGAGGCAAUUCAAAUACUUGCUAGUCAAUUUGGCAAUUCGAAGCAAUGGCUUCUCAAAAGGAAAACGGUGAUUGCAGACGUCUUCUUGACUCCGUAUUGCAGAAACUAGUCUACUUGUAAGGCAGGAACUCCCCAAAACCUCUAGCAGGACCUUUUCUUCUCUGAAGUCUGCUCAACGUCAAGAUAACACGGUCGUGCACUCCUGAAGACGACUAGACAAGUAUCCAACCAACUCUCGAGCAACUUUUUCUCUGAUCCAUCGUCUGUCCUUUUCUCUCUUAUCUCUCACGGAUGAUCUCUGCUGCCGCUGAUCUCUCACUGAUAAUCUGAUCUGUGGCUCUUACUGAGGAUAUCUCUCUGUGACUAACUGGAGUCUCUCUUUUACGAUCUCUGCUUUCUCCUGCUACGACCAUCAUAUUUAUAUGGCACUCAGGGGGCGGAGCCCAAGGCAAAUGUCACAGACUCACGAGAUUUCCAGAACUUCUUAGAUGAAUCUAGACGAGGUAUUGCAUCAUAUUUCGCUGCAUUUCUCCCGACACUUAGGCGCGUGUUGCGCUCCACAACAUGCCCGACGAUUCCAGAACAACCGCGAAAACAGGCGCCUCCAACAAGGGCACGAAAGCCUCCUUGCUGCCGAACUUCUCGAAAAUGCAUUUUCCUUUCCUUUAUCCUUCUUUGCUAUGAAGCAAUUACCAUCACACGCCCCCCAAAAGAGAAAAAAAAUGAAAUCAACUGAUUUUAUUUUUUUCUAAAGAGAAACAAGAAUUAAACAGCAGGGAACAAUUCUGCAUAAAGCUUUAAUCCAGUCAAACACACAUGCUUCUCCACUCACACACUCACUCGUGCGAUAACAGAAAAUGGUUAUUAGGCUACUCAUUCUGAGAAAUCUCUAGAGAGGAUAUCAGCUAAUACAUUAUCCUUUCCCCUUAUAUGAACUAUCUUCAGGUUAUAGUCUUGUAAUUCUAAACUCCAACACAUUAGACGUUUAUUCUUGUUCCUAAACCUCUCCAAAUAAAAUAACGGAUUAUGAUCAGUAUACACAAUUGAAACAGAACCGCUACGUGCGUAAAUCUCAAAGUGUUGCAAGGCUGUAACUAAACCAAACAAUUCCUUUUCAAUAGUGGAAUAGUUCUGUUGCGCUUUUUCAGUUUCUUUGAAUAAUAGGCAACUGGGAGUUUCAUUCCAUUCACUUAUUGUAACAAAACCCCUCCUACGCCAAUAUCACUGGCAUCAUCGCUAAAUUAAAUUCCUUACCAAAAUCGGGUAAUAAUAAAACUGGCUCGUGAAUCAUUAUAGCCUUUUACUGCUUCCUUUCUUAAACAGAUUAGCCUUUUACUGCGUCCUUUCUUAAACAGAUUAGUUAUGGGAGCGCUUAUUUCCGAGAAAUUUGGUACGAAUCUACGGAAAUACGAAACCAUUCCAAGAAAUCUCAUGGCCUGUUUUUUAGUUGUUGGGAUUGGGAAAUUCACAAUAGCUUCUAUGUUCCGAUCCUUUGGACAGAUUUUACCAAGACCUAACUUAUGUCCUAGAUAAGUUAUAGAGGCUUUCCCAAAUUCGUACUUCUUUAGAUUAAGAACGAGAUUCGCUUUGGUAAGGGCCCUCAAGACUCGCCAAAAUCCUUACAUGAUCCUCCCAAGUUUCUGAAAAUAUCACAAGAUCAUCUAAGUACACGACACAGUUGUUGAUGCCACUUAAAUACUUUAUGCAUUAACCUUUGGAAGGUACUGGCUGCGUUCUUCAAGCCAAAAGCCAUAACUUUGUGCUCGAAACUACCAAAUGGCGUUUAAAGGCGGAAAUUUUUCGGGCUCGUUCACUUAAAGGUACUUGCCAAUAACCUUUAGCCAAAGCAAGCUUUGAGAUGAACUUGGAAUUUCCAAUUCUAUCUAAGCAAUCGUCAAUCCUGGGUAAGGGAAAAUUACUUUGCUUCGUUACACUGUUCACCUUCCGGAAAUCAAUGCACAAUCUAUCUGAUCCAUCUUCCUUUUUCACCAGAACUACCGGGGAACUCCAUUCACUCUCGCUAGGUACUAUCUAAUCAUUAUCUAGCAUGUAACUAAUUUCCUUCCUCACAGAUUCUGCCCUUUCUGGGUUGAGACGAUAUGGACUUUGCCUAAUGGGUUUCGUGUUCUGCAACUCAAUAUCAUGUUCUAAAACAUUGUUUAGACCUAGUUUGUCACUAAUAGUUUCAGGAUAAUUCACUAAAACAUUACGUACUUCCCUCACCUUUUUCUCUUCUAAACCCUGAUUAAAAACUUCGAAAUUCAUAAGCACCUAAGAGUUUUUCUCAAAGCUAAUCUCUUUCUGGGACACCGUCACUACAGGCACGGGGCGUUCGUUAUAUUUCUUGAGCAAAUUUACAUGCAGCCACUUUGCUCUACGUUUACCCAUAUCUAUUAAACAAUUCAGAUUCCCCCUCUUCUCUAAAAUCGAAAAAGGACCUUCGAACUUAUACGAUAAAGAGGGACCU